rnacentral:rRNA from 1 species
UAGGGAAUCCUCCACAAUGGACGCAAGUCUGAUGGAGCAACGCCGCGUGAGUGAAGAAGGUUUUCGGACCGUAAAGCUCUGUUGUUGGUGAAGAAGGAUAGAGGUAGUAACUGGCCUUUAUUUGACGGUAAUCAACCAGAAAGUCACGGCUAACUACGUGCCAGCAGCCGCGGUAAUACGUAGGUGGCAAGCGUUGUCCGGAUUUAUUGGGCGUAAAGCGAGCGCAGGCGGAAGAAUAAGUCUGAUGUGAAGCCCUCGGCUUAACCGAGGAAUUGCAUCGGAAAC